rnacentral:rRNA from 1 species
AUUGAACGCUGGCGGAAUGCUUUACACAUGCAAGUCGAACGGUAGAGGGGGCAACCCCUCGAGAGUGGCGAACGGGUGAGUAAUAUAUCGGAACGUGCCCAGUCGUGGGGGAUAACGUAGCGAAAGUUACGCUAAUACCGCAUACGAUCUAAGGAUGAAAGCGGGGGACCGCAAGACCUCGCGCGAUUGGAGCGGCCGAUAUCAGAUUAGGUAGUUGGUGGGGUAAAGGCUCACCAAGCCAACGAUCUGUAGCUGGUCUGAGAGGACGACCAGCCACACUGGAACUGAGACACGGUCCAGACUCCUACGGGAGGCAGCAGUGGGGAAUUUUGGACAAUGGACGCAAGUCUGAUCCAGCCAUUCCGCGUGCAGGAUGAAAGCCCUCGGGUUGUAAACUGCUUUUGUACGGAACGAAAAGGUCUCUCUUAAUACGGGGGACUCAUGACGGUACCGUAAGAAUAAGCACCGGCUAACUACGUGCCAGCCGCCGCAGUAA